UACGGAGGAUCCAAGCGUUAUCCGGAUUCAUUGGGUUUAAAGGGUGCGUAGGCGGAAUGAUAAGUCAGUGGUGAAAUCCUUCAGCUUAACUGGAGAAUUGCCAUUGAUACUGUCAAUCUUGAGUACAUUUGAUGUGGGCGGAAUGUGUCAUGUAGCAGUGAAAUGCUUAGAUAUGACACAGAACACCGAUUGCGAAGGCAGCUCACAAAACUGUAACUGACGCUGAGGCACGAAAGCGUGGGUAUCAAACAGG
rnacentral:rRNA from 1 species